ACGGCGAGUGAACAGGGAAGAGCCCAGCACCGAAGCCUGUGGCCAUUUGGUCUCUAGGCAAUGUGGUGUUUAGGUCAGCUCGCGGAGACACUGUCCCACUCUAAGUCCAGCAAUGAGACUGGUAUCUGGACAUGGCCCAAAGAGGGUGAAAGGCCCGUGAGGGUGGGAACUCAGACAUGCCAGUGUCUCCCUGAGUAGACCUUGGAGUCGGGUUGUUUGUGAAUGCAGCCCAAAGUGGGUGGUAAACUCCAUCCAAGGCUAAAUACUAACACGAGUCCGAUAGCGAACAAGUACCGUGAGGGAAAGUUGAAAAGUACUUUGAAGAGAGAGUAAACAGUGCGUGAAACCGCUCAGAGGUAAACGGGUGGAGUUGAACUGCAAAGCUCCGAGAAUUUAACUGGUGAGUGUGGUAUACACUUGGAUAUAUUGGUUGGCCCUCAAAGUCUGCAGAAAACUGUGGAGGCUGUGCUAACGCGCGGCGUGCGUUGAAGCGCUUAUCAAGCGCUGUGCUCUUUGGGGGUACUUCGAACCUGCUUGCCAGUGCAUUUUCUCAGAGUGAUCACCACGACCGGCGCUGCUGUCUGUCUGCUGUGGUUAAACCGGGUGUGUAUCGUCCUUGUGGCUUUGCAUACUCGGGAUGGCAGGUAACCCGAUUGUGCUUGUCACGAUUGGGUGUAAUCAGCUGACCAUAGUAGUACUGUGCAGUGCGUCGGAGACGGCGGCUUGUGGUGCGUACAUGCGUGCAUGUUGAGUGGCGGCUUUGGGUCUGGUUAUACUGUAGCCUGUAAAAACAGGCCAUGUAAUGGCCCAGGGUUGUYCACUUGAUGGUUGCGUAUGGGGCACUUUAAUKGGCCUACAGUCUGUGG
rnacentral:rRNA from 1 species